UCGUCUUGGGCUGCUCUCGGAUGAGCCAGCUUGAGAAUUCAGAAAUCUGGCACACCCGGUGGCAUUCUAUCCGGCAAUAU
rnacentral:pre_miRNA from 1 species